rnacentral:rRNA from 1 species
GACGAACGCUGGCGGCGUGCUUAACACAUGCAAGUCGAACGGAAAGGCCUGCUUUCCCUUGUGGAUUGCGGGUACUCGAGUGGCGAACGGGUGAGUAACACGUGAGUGAUCUGCCCCCAACUUGGGUAUAAGCCUGGGAAACUGGGUCUAAUUCCCGAUAGGACUGCAGGGUGGUGCCUGUGGUGGAAAACGAUCUUCUAGUGGUUGGGGAUGAGCUCGCGGCCUAUCAGCUUGUUGGUGGGGGAAUGGCCGACCAAGGCGGCGACGGGUAGCCGGCCUGAGAGGGUGGACGGCCACAGUGGGACUGAGAUACGGCCCAGACUCCUGCGGGAGGCAGCAGUGGGGAAUAUUGCACAGUGGGCGGAAGCCUGAUGCAGCGACGCCGCGUGGGGGAUGACGGCCUUCGGGUUGUAAACUCCUUUCGACCGCGAGGAAGCCACCUGGUUGGAAGGGUGGUGACGGUAGUGGUAGAAGAAGCACCGGCUAACUACGUG